UAGCUGUAUUUUCUGACGUUUUCAAAGUUCAAGGACAAUGCUUAAAGUUGUUCCCCAGGUUUUAUGAAACUUUAAGUUUAACUUUAAGUUUAAUUUCCAGGGUUUUUUUACAUUUAUGGUUAAUUAAUAUUAUUAUUAUUAUUGUCAUUUUAAGGUUGCCGGAAAUGUAGUAGGCAAAAAGUUUUCAAAUAUGACUCCAUAACAGGACGAAGGAUAAAUGAGGGGCAAGAGGAAGUAAGGGUGAAAUGGUUACCUUGCUCUGCAUGUGGAAAAAUCUGGGAGGAGACAUGGGAGCCGGCCUGCCAGUU